GAUCUUUUAAUAUUUGAUGUGUCUGGCGGUGGACUCGAGAUGGUACAAGACUUUAUUACGACCAACGCUGACUUGAAGAAGCCUUAUAUGGUCAAGGUAAUCUUGUACCAGGAGCCAUCGGUGGUAGAUGAGGCAGAGUUGGCAAAUAACGCUAAGAGCUUCGGCUACACACAUCUCCCCAUCACCUCCGCGCACUUCCUCCUCCUGCACAACUCCCUCAACUUCGCUGUCAGUUGAAGUUCCUCCGCACCUUCUGUUACAUGGAAGACAAGAUCAAAACGAAUAUUGGCAAUACUUUGAGCAGCAUUCUCAUCUGGGAGGAAAUAUUGUUCACAAACAGCUCUCUCACUGCCAAGACCACCAACUUCUGGAAUACCUGACUGUAAAAUGUCCAACACUUGCUGCCUUCUUUUGACUACAGUAUGCACGAUAAUUUGAAUGUAAAUAAUGAUCUUAAUCAUUAAAUACACAGUAGCUACAAAACAUUCAGUUAAUUCCUGACAGCAUUCCAGUGUAGAUUCAGCCAUUAUAACCUCCCUUAUUCCACUUGGAUACAAUAUAUAUAUGUAUAUACUUACUCUAUAAAAUAUUUCACAUGCUCCUCUGAGGGAACUAAAUACUGUAGUAUAUUUAAGGUCUGAGAAUAAGAUUUUUAGUAUGGUAUUAAUAUUUUGUACAUUUUUAAGAUAUUUCCUAAGUGAAUCCUUUAAAGUACAGUACUGCCUUACCUUAUAGUCUUAUUCUAUACAUCCUGUAUUCUACUGUUCAUUGUGGAAUGGUUAUGCUAAUGUGUAAAUUUAAUAUGAAUAGUAUUGUAUAUCACAAUAUGGGCAUGGUCUCCCAGUAACACAGAAAACCUUCACACAUUACACUGCAUGCAAGCAAAAUGCUAAGUAGACAGGGAAAAAUACACAUUAAAAAUUGUUCUCUUCCCCUAAUACUGUACUACCUAAUUCUGCUCAGUUACCAUUUCAACUACUUAAUCUAAAAGUUAUUGAUUCUUCAAGAAAAUAAACUGGUAAAAAUAAUUAUCUACAUGUGAGUAACCUGGAGACAUUAAGAUACAAAUGUUGGAAAAUUUUUCAUGCAAGAUGUUUUAUGUACAGUAGCUAUAAAAAAAGGCUUAUAUAGAGAUAAAGGUGUAUGUCUAUAUUGGCAUUCCUUACAUAAUGUCUGUUCCCUUGGAUGUAUUUAAACUUGGAUCACACAAUGUUAUAGAACUAAAAAGACUAAAACUAUAAAAUUUCGUGAAAAUCAGGU